GCCCCUGUAGCUCAGAGGAUAGAGCGCUGGCCUCCGGAGCCAGAUGCAAGGGUUCGAGUCCCUUCAGGGGUA
rnacentral:tRNA from 2 species